AGGCGGCAGCGGAAGGUGGGAGCGACGACUGCAAAACGGCAGCGAUGGGGGAGGCUUGCUGCUCCUCCGCGGCCGUUACAGAGAGCGGGGCUUCUGCGGCCGCUACCGUUUCCCUGGGGCUAGGUUGCUUCGCAGAAGGCUCUGGCCCUGAGUCCGAGGGGGACUGCGGGGUCCAGGGGCGAUGAAUGCUCCCGCAACCUCCGGAGCUUGUGCGCGUACUUCAGGGACCGGCACCACGUCACCGUCACCUCCUGAGUAGUGAGUUCCCCUCUGAUGAAACCACUGUCUGAAAAUUCAAAAGAGAAGCAAUUUAAAGGACUUCCAUUUACUUCUUUCCCCUCUAAUCUGCACAAAAGGUUAAAUGUAGCAGUGCAGCAGUUCUGGCCAUCAAAAUAUGAUUAUUGUACUUUAAAAGCAGCCAUGAGAACUCUGCUCUUUGAUAGACUUCAACUUGCAACAACUAAGGAAUAAUCCAGUUCCAGAGGAGAUUAGGAGUUGGGUGAGA
rnacentral:lncRNA from 1 species